rnacentral:rRNA from 1 species
UUAAGUUAAUAAGGGCGCACGGUGAAUGCCUAGGCACUAGGAGCCGAUGAAGGACGGGACUAACGCCGAAACGCUUCGGGGAGCUGUAAGUAAGCUUUGAUCCGGAGAUAUCCGAAUGGGGAAACCCACCAUCUUUAAUAGGAUGGUAUUCUUACCUGAAUACAUAGGGUAAGGAAGGCAGACCCGGGGAACUGAAACAUCUAAGUACCCGGAGGAAGAGAAAGCAAACGCGAUUACCUGAGUAGCGGCGAGCGAAACGGUAGAAGCCCAAACCAAGAGGCAUGCCUCUUGGGGUUGUAGGACACUCAAAACGGAGUUACAAAAGAAUGAUGUAGGUGAAGCGACAUGGAAAGGUCGGCCGAAGAAGGUAACAGCCCUGUAGCUGAAACAUCAUUCACUCUUGAGUGGAUCCUGAGUACGGCGGGACACGAGAAAUCCCGUCGGAAGCAGGGAGGACCAUCUCCCAAGGCUAAAUACUCCCUAGUGACCGAUAGUGAACCAGUACCGUGAGGGAAAGGUGAAAAGCACCCCGGGAGGGGAGUGAAAGAGAACCUGAAACCGUGUGCCUACAAGUAGUCAGAGCCCGUUCAAGGGUGAUGGCGUGCCUUUUGUAGAAUGAACCGGCGAGUUACGAUCUCGUGCAAGGUUAAGUUGAAGAAACGGAGCCGCAGCGAAAGCGAGUCUUAAGAGGGCGAGUAAGUACGAGGUCGUAGACCCGAAACCAGGUGAUCUACCCAUGUCCAGGGUGAAGGUAGGGUAACACCUACUGGAGGCCCGAACCCACGCACGUUGAAAAGUGCGGGGAUGAGGUGUGGGUAGCGGAGAAAUUCCAAUCGAACUUGGAGAUAGCUGGUUCUCCCCGAAAUAGCUUUAGGGCUAGCCUUAAGAAAAGAGUCUUGGAGGUAGAGCACUGAUUGGACUAGGGGCCCCCAUCGGGUUACCGAAUUCAGUCAAACUCCGAAUGCCAAGCACUUAUGCUUAGGAGUCAGACUACGAGUGAUAAGGUCCGUGGUCAAGAGGGAAACAGCCCAGACCACCAGCUAAGGUCCCAAAGUGUACGUUAAGUGGCAAAGGAUGUGGAGUUGCCCAGACAACCAGGAUGUUGGCUUAGAAGCAGCCACCAUUUAAAGAGUGCGUAAUAGCUCACUGGUCGAGUGACUCUGCGCCGAAAAUGUAACGGGGCUAAACGUACCACCGAAGCUGUGGGUGAACAGAAAUGUUCGCGGUAGGGGAGCGUUCUAAGGGCAUUGAAGCUAGACCGGAAGGACUGGUGGAGCGCUUAGAAGUGAGAAUGCCGGUGUAAGUAGCGAAAAGACAGGUGAGAAUCCUGUCCAUCGAAAGCCUAAGGUUUCCUGAGGAAGGCUCGUCCGCUCAGGGUAAGUCGGGACCUAAGCCGAGGCCGAAAGGCGUAGGCGAUGGCCAACAGGUUGAAAUUCCUGUACCACCUCAUUACCGUUUUCCCGCAAGGGGACAAGGGGCACUAAGCGCUAAAGCGCAAAGACCCCCUUCGAAGCAAUGGAGGGACGCAGGAGGAUAGGGCAAGCGCGCUGUUGGAAAUGCGCGUCCAAGCAGGUAGGCUGAGAAGUAGGCAAAUCCGCUUCUCGAAAAGGCUGAGCUGUGAUGGCGAGGGAAAAACAGUACCGAAGUUCCUGAUUCCACACUGCCAAGAAAAGCUUCUAGCGAGGUAGAAGGUGCCCGUACCGCAAACCGACACAGGUAGGCGAGGAGAGAAUCCUAAGAUGCGCGAGAGAACUCUCGUUAAGGAACUCGGCAAAAUGACCCCGUAACUUCGGGAGAAGGGGUGCUCUGAUAGCGUGCAAGCGUGAGAGAGCCGCAGUGAAUAGGCCCAAGCGACUGUUUAGCAAAAACACAGGUCUCUGCGAAGCCGUAAGGCGAAGUAUAGGGGCUGACACCUGCCCGGUGCUGGAAGGUUAAGAGGAGAGGUUAUCGCAAGAGAAGCUUUGAAUCGAAGCCCCAGUAAACGGCGGCCGUAACUAUAACGGUCCUAAGGUAGCGAAAUUCCUUGUCAGGUAAGUUCUGACCCGCACGAAAGGUGUAACGACUUGGGCACUGUCUCAACGAGAGACUCGGUGAAAUCAUAGUACCUGUGAAGAUGCAGGUUACCCGCGACAGGACGGAAAGACCCCGUGGAGCUUUACUGCAGCCUGAUAUUGAAUUUUGGUACAGCUUGUACAGGAUAGGUAGGAGCCUGGGAAGUGGGAGCGCCAGCUUCCAUGGAGGCAAUGGUGGGAUACUACCCUGGCUGUAUUGAAAUUCUAACCCACAUCUGUAAACCAGAUGGGAGACAGUGUCAGGUGGGCAGUUUGACUGGGGCGGUCGCCUGUAGGAGCCUGGGAAGUGGGAGCGCCAGCUUCCAUGGAGGCAACGGUGGGAUACUACCCUGGCUGUAUUGAAAUUCUAACCCACGACCAAAAGCAGGUUGGGAGACAGUGUCAGGUGGGCAGUUUGACUGGGGCGGUCGCCUCCCAAAGAGUAACGGAGGCGCCCAAAGGUUCCCUCAGAAUGGUUGGAAAUCAUUCGGAGAGUGUAAAGGCACAAGGGAGCUUGACUGCGAGACCUACAAGUCGAGCAGGGACGAAAGUCGGGCUUAGUGAUCCGGUGGUACCGCAUGGAAGGGCCAUCGCUCAACGGAUAAAAGCUACCCCGGGGAUAACAGGCUUAUCUCCCCCAAGAGUCCACAUCGACGGGGAGGUUUGGCACCUCGAUGUCGGCUCAUCGCAUCCUGGGGCUGUAGUCGGUCCCAAGGGUUGGGCUGUUCGCCCAUUAAAGCGG